UCCCAUACCGGGACUUCAAAGGCAGCGUUUACUGUGGGGAUAAACCCCUUAUCUCGGGCCCAAUUUAACAGCCCUUUGAGGGUACCUGUAUCAUAGGAUAACCCUCUCUUAGAAAGAAUAUGUUGGAGG